GAACAACUCCUACUUCAGAAACAAAAGGCCCCAACAGAAAGCCUGCCCCGGAUCCGCUACUACCACAGAAGCAGAAGCAAGAAGAAGAAGAUGACCGACCGCGGCAGAGGUCGCGACCGCGAUAGAGACCGAGACCGGGACAGAGACCGAGACAGGGAUAGAGUUAGAGAUAGAGAAGACAGAGAUAGAGAUAGAGAUAGAGAGAGAGAUCGAGAAAGAAGAAGAGAUAAUAAGGACGAUCGAUCCAAACGCUCCCACACCCCCGACCGGGCCCGCUCCCGCCACGCCCGCUCCCCGGACCGCUCCGGCCGGCGCCACCACCACCGCACUCCCUCGCCGGAAGCGCCGCGGAAGCGCCACAAGCGGGGGGAGGACGAUGACGUCAAGGACCCGAAGAAGGCGGCCGCCGUGGUGUCGGAGUUCGUCGAUGGAAUCGUGAGGGAGCAGAAGCAGCAGCAGCACAAGGACGGCGGUGGCGCCGAAGAAGGGGCGGCGGUGGAUGCCGACGAGGUAGAGAUGAUGAAGAAGCUGGGGAUUCCGGUAGGGUUCGACACGACGAAGGGUAAGCAAGUGACGGGGGCGGAUGUGAGCGGAGUGAGAGCCGUGACGAAGCGGCAGCCCAGGCAGUAUAUGAACCGGCGGGGCGGAUUCAAUCGCCCUUUGCCUGCUGAAACCAACCGUUGAUUCGUUCUAGUUUUAUUUUGAGGAUUCGUGGAGUGGCGACCUCGUACCAGUUUCUACCCAAAUGGAAGGAGGAACUUGACAUGUUGAGAAAUUUUGAAAUCAAUGACAGAGAUGACACAUGCUUACCCUUUUGACAUAUUAAUUAGGUGGGAAAACAUCAACUGGCUUGAGAUGAAUGAGGUGGGAGGUCGGAUGUCUAGAUGCAGUAAUGAGACUCAUAGGAUGAACACCUUGUAAGACAACCUUGAAUUGUUACUUUUGAAGAUGUACUGCAUCGUUGUGUGAGUCCCAUAUUACUCUUAUUAUGGGAUUUCUGUGAUUUUGUUAACUAUAGAUGGGACAAUUCUGGAGUUU